ensembl:lncRNA
GUUACUUUGUGUUAUCUAUCUCAUAGCAGCGAUAUCUGAAACUCCUGGGUGGUAAAAUCUACCGCCUGGUGUUUCUGCUGAUUCUUAUCUCGUGCAGUCUCUGCAUGUAUUUGGCCAUUUGGGGGUUUCUGUGAGGCAGACUUGCUCAGGGAGCAUCCUCACAGGCGUAAGAUGACGUUUUUUUCUCUGGAGCAAAUCUGUUGACUUCUUACUCUACUGAGGACAUCGUGAAGUGAAAGUUGCUCAGUUGUGUCUCUGUGAGCCCAUUUGAUUGUACAAUCCAUGGGAUUCUCCAGACCAGAAGACUGGAGUGCGUAGACUUCCCCUUCUCCAGGGAAUCUUCCCCGACCCAAGGAUCAAAUCCAGGUCUGCCGCAUUGCAGGCAGAUUCUUUCCCAGCUGAGGCUCAAGGGAAGCCCAAGAAUACUGGAGUGGGUAGGCUGUCCCUUCUCCAGGGGAUCUUCCCAAUCCAGGAAUCGAACUGGGGUCUCCUGCAUUGCAGGUGGAUUCUUUACCAGCUGAGCCACAAGGGAAGCCCAGGAUACUGGAAUGGGUAGGCUUUCCCUUCUCCAGGGGAUCUUCCCUACCCAGGAAUCGAAUCGGGGUCUCCCUCAUUGCAGGCAGAUUCUUUACCAACUGAGCUAUCAUUUGGGGCCACUUAAUUUCUUUAGAUUUCCCCUUGCUCCGUAGAUGCCACCAGAAUCAGUCCCACUCCAGGACCCCACAGUGCGGGAGAGAGACUCUUCUACCCAGAGCUGAGACGGAGACAGCUCAGCUUCCUGUCUUCCUGUGAGAAGGGCCUCCUUCUGACAGGAAGCCCUGUCUAUGCAAGGUCUCAACUGAGCUGCCCACAGUGCACAAACCCAGGGUCUGGUCUCUUGCUUCUUUUCGUGUUGGAAUACUGGUAUCAUACUGGGGCUUCCCUGGUGGCUCAGAGGGUAAAGCGUCCGCCUGUAAUGCAGGAGACCUGGGUUUGAUCCCUGGGUCAGGAAGAUCCCCUGGAGAAGGAAAUGGCAACACACUCCAGUACUCUUGCCUGGAAAAUCCCAUGGACAGAGAAGCCUGGUAGACUACAGGCCAUGGGAUCGCAACGAGUCGGACACGACUGGGAGACUUGUCGCUCACUUUCACUGGUGUUAGAGCGCUGGUGACAGAGUGCUCACAACACAGGGUACUGGCAUCAGCAUGUGGCCGGGAAGGCCCGCAUUUCUGUCCAUUCUGCUGCCAGCAGCUCGUUAGAGAAAUCUCAUCUGCCAUCUGCCAGAAGGAACCGGAAGUCUCAGUAGGGUUUCAGUCUCAGCCAGAAACUCUGCAGAAGCACCCGUGUGACCCACAAACGGGACCCUUGCUGGGCCGAGCACUCGGCUCAGAUUCCUCUUUCCCCACGAUGACCUCGCUGUGGGGUCUCUGCACGUCAUGUCUCAAGAAGCGCCUCUGUUCACUGCUGCCCCGACCUCUGCCAGGUUUCUGAACCUGAGUGGCUGUAAGCCUAGGAGAUCCCAGCAGAGAAACCCAUCUCCUGGGCAGCAGCCAAUGACACCCCCGGAAAGAAGGCUGGUUCCCCGACACUGCUGAAGAUGUCAGCUCUGCACAUCAGGCUACCUGGCUUCUCCGUGAUGGCACGUCGGUCAGGUUCCUCUGCAGACACACGAUGGUGCUAGCAAAGCCGAGACACCGCUGCAGAGAAAACCCCAAACCCCCAACCUCAGAAGCAGGGGAGCAGGGGAGAAAGGCCUCGGGCUGAUGACUGGCUUGUCCCCAGACAUCGCAGCGAAGCCUUCCACACCCUUUCUAUCCAAUGCAGCACGAUCACCAAGGAGAUGAUCUUAGGAGAUGGCGCUGCCAUUUUCUGAAGCGGGGAUCUGUGGAUCAUGAGUGAGUAUCUCUGCAUGGAGAAGAAAUCAGAAGCGAGGGCCUGGAUACUGAAGGGCAGAACGAGGCUCAGGGGAGGUGCAAGCUCCCCAGGAAGUGGUCUCUUGAUAAAAGCUGAAGGACUGUCCCGAGUGAGAUGUGACUGAGCUGUGACCGAGCCAGCGUCACCAGAGAUGCUUUGUGGUGCAGAUUUUGAGGACGGUGCACAGGCGCGAAGGGGCAGAGGAAACCUCCGAGGGGUGUGUCCACACUCUGGGCCAGCUAGGAAGCGCCUCCUCGUGGACAGAUGUCCAGACACAACCUGUGUCCCAAGGACACAGAGGAGGCUGGUGGCUAGAUUCAAACCCUCCACGGGAAGGACGUUUGGUCAUUCUCACACCUCUGUCCCAGGAUGGGACCAGGCUGAGGGGACCCCAAGAGAACGAGGGUCACUUCAGUGUCCUGAGGCCACAAGGGCAGUCAGUGUUCAACCCCCAUCUUUCGAGCACACCAGGGUGAAGGCUGAAGAAGCCGCAGCAAGCACAGCAUUUAAAGAGCUGACACGUGAAAGAUACAGAACAUAGGAGAUGGGGGAGGCUUUGAAGAAGGUGUGUCUGAAAAAGUUGCUCAGGAAGAGGGCCCAAAGAGCGCCUGAAGAAGCCAGUUCCAACGGUCGAAGGAGAGCGAUCUCGAGAGAACUGAGGCUCAAAAGGGAUGAUGAAGAGUCUGGAGGGGACCCUGAGCAGGCACCUGGGGGGACGGCCCCGGAGAGGGUCUGGGACGGUGGCGCUGAAAGAGAACGUGGGGACGCUCUGAAAAAGCCUGAAGAAAAUGGUGUCGAGAAAGUCAGAAAGAAAUGACCCUGAAAAAUCAAUCUGAUUCGAAGAUGGCAGCUCUGAGAGAGGGAUGAAGAUGCGAGGGAAGCUAAGAACACGGAACGCGAUCUGGCGGUGGAUCAGGUGAAGAGGAAGAUAAUGAGGGUGGAGGAGGGUCUGAGGACGCCUGGGGGGCCGGGGGGCGGACAGGGAGGAGGCAGGUGAGGGCGUGUGAACG